rnacentral:rRNA from 1 species
UACAGAGGGUGCGAGCGUUAAUCGGAAUUACUGGGCGUAAAGCGAGCGUAGGCGGCUCUGCAAGUCGGGUGUGAAAUCCCCAGGCUUAACCUGGGAACUGCAUUCGAGACUGCAUUGCUAGAGUAUGGGAGAGGGAAGUGGAAUUUCCGGUGUAGCGGUGAAAUGCGUAGAUAUCGAGAGGAACACCAGUGGCGAAGGCGGCCUGCUGGGCAGUAGCUGACACUGAGGCGCGACAGCGUGGGGAGCAAACAGG